AAUGAACGCUGGCGGCGUGCUUAACACAUGCAAGUCGAACGAGAAAGGGAUUGCUUGCAAUCCUGAGUAGAGUGGCGCACGGGUGAGUAACACGUAGAUAAUCUACCUUCAAUACUGGGAUAACUAUUCGAAAGGAUAGCUAAUACCGGAUAAAGUGAAUUGACAAAAGUUAAUUUAUGAAAGAUUGCCUCUUCUUGAAAGCAAUUGAUUGGAGAUGAGUUUGCGGACCAUUAGUUUGUUGGUGGGGUAAAGGCCUACCAAGACUACGAUGGUUAGCUGGUCUGAGAGGAUGAUCAGCCACACUGGGACUGAGACACGGCCCAGACUCCUACGGGAGGCAGCAGUGGGGAAUAUUGGACAAUGGGGGCAACCCUGAUCCAGCAAUGCCGCGUGUGUGAAGAAGGCCUGCGGGUUGUAAAGCACUUUCAGUAGAGAAGAAAAGCCUAGGGUUAAUACCCCUGAGUCU
rnacentral:rRNA from 1 species